rnacentral:lncRNA from 1 species
GCAUCCGGGGAUGCGUCAGGUGCGCUCCCUCCGCGACACGGCGUCUCCACCGGGUUGGGACAGCCUCGCGGAAGCCGCGGGGACUCGCCGGCCCGCCCGACCCGCGGGACUCUGAGAAGGCUCCGCGCAGGGCUGCCCUCCCGGCAGGUGCCUUCACGGGGUCGCGCCGCGGAAAACCCCAGUAAACACCCCCUUCUCACGAGGCCCCGGUUCCACCGACUGGGUCAUGGUGCCCCCUGGGCCGGGGGGUGCGGGGGGUGCGGGGGGUGCGGGGGGGGGGAGGGCGGGGGCGGGGUCUUCCCCCAAGGCCGGGCAGGCCCUGAGCUCCUGCCAAAGGAAACGUUCGCUCCGGCUCCUGAAGACCUGCGCGCGGAGCCACCGGGUCCGGUCCUCACGGCCGGGAUCAGGGCCAGAGCCGGGCACAGCGUGGAAACCAACUUGCACACUUCGACGGGCCAUCGCCUGCCCGCGCCACGCCGGGGCCGGCCGCCGUAUCCGGGGCGGGGCGGGGGGCGGCCCGUAUCUUACGGGAAAACACCGACGUUGGGGGUAACCCAACGCCUCGCUCCGGCACACGGGCAGCCGGCGAGCGCGGCCGGGCCUGGAACCCGCGCCCUCCCCGCGCCCGGCUCUCCCGCCCUCCCGCGCCGCGGGGCCCGCAGGCUGGGGCGGGGCCACGGGGCGGGGGCGGGGCCAGCGCCGUCCGGGGGCGGGGCCACGGGGCGGGGGCGGGGCCAGCGCGGCCGAGGAGCCGCCCGACCCCACGCGCUCCCGCCCGCGCCCCCGCCCCCGCCCCCGUCCCCAGGACGCGCCGCCGCAGCGCGGGCUCCGACCCGACGGUGCCCGGAAGUCGGGGCCCAGCCCGCGGCGGGUCGGGAGGCGCGGGGCUCCCCGGAGCCCGCCCGACGGCGGCGGGGGCCAAGGACGGUGUGGGAGCGGCCGCGCCCGGCGCCGCCCCGCCCCCCGCCCCGUCAGCGCGUCUGCCGCGUCGGGCCUCGCGGCGGGUCACGAGGCGGGUGUGGCGCAGUCAGCCCUCCGCCGCCGCCGCCGCCUCCGCCGCCCUCCCGCGCGCCACGUCCGCGGCCCCGCCCCGCCCCGCCCCCGCGCGGGGAACCCCGCUGUCGUCACCCGCCGCGCGCUCGCCUUCCCGCGCGCUCCAGAAAGGACGCGAAGCCGGUGACGUGUCCCGGGCGCCCGCGAGGCUGCGCAGACGGCGAGGGCAGGACGCUCCGCGGCGCCGCCUGGCGGGAGAGCGCGCGGCCGCCGCGGCCGGAAGCGGGGUGCGUGACGUCACCCGCGGGGGGGCCGCCGCGUGACCUGCCGGCGCGGCUGUGCCUGUGGGGCGGGGCCCGGUGCCGGCGUCCGUGA